rnacentral:rRNA from 1 species
ACGUAGGGGGCGAGCGUUGUCCGGAAUUACUGGGCGUAAAGGGUGCGUAGGCGGCCCUGCAGGUCAGAUGUGAAAUACCCGUGCUUAACAUGGGGGCUGCAUUUGAAACCGUAGGGCUUGAGUGCGGAAGAGGUAAGUGGAAUUCCCGGUGUAGCGGUGAAAUGCGUAGAGAUCGGGAGGAACACCAGUGGCGAAGGCGACUUACUGGGCCGCAACUGACGCUGAGGCACGAAAGCGUGGGGAGCAAACAG